GAAAUGCGAUACCUGGUGUGAAUUGCAGAAUCCCGCGAACCAUCGAGUCUUUGAACGCAAGUUGCGCCCGAGGCCACCUGGCUGAGGGCACGCCUGCCUAGGCGUCACACCAAAUACGCUCCAACACCCUCAUCGGGCAGUGGGAUGCGGCUUGUGGCCCCUCGUCAUGCAAGAGGCGGUGGGCCGAAGAUGUGGCUGCCGGCGUAUCGUGCCGGACACAGCGUGUGGUGGGUGAACUCGCUUUACUUACCGCAGUGCAUCCGACGCGUAGCUGACGUGAUGGCCUUGAUGGACCCUAUAAACGGAGCGCAUGACGCUUCGACCGCGACCCCAGGUCAGGCGGGACUACCCGCUGAGUUUAA
rnacentral:misc_RNA from 1 species